GCAUUAGUAGCUCAGCAUUAGAGCGCCGGUCUUGUAAACCGGAGGCCGGAGGCUAACCCCUCCCUUCUGCU
rnacentral:tRNA from 1 species